rnacentral:rRNA from 1 species
UAGCAUAUCAAUAAGCGGAGGAAAAGAAACCAACAGGGAUUGCCCUAGUAACGGCGAGUGAAGCGGCAACAGCUCAAAUUUGAAAUCUGGCUCUUUUAGAGUCCGAGUUGUAAUUUGCAGAGGGCGCUUUGGCUUUGGCAGCGGUCCAAGUUCCUUGGAACAGGACGUCACAGAGGGUGAGAAUCCCGUACGUGGUCGCUGGCUAUUGCCGUGUAAAGCCCCUUCGACGAGUCGAGUUGUUUGGGAAUGCAGCUCUAAAUGGGAGGUACAUUUCUUCUAAAGCUAAAUAUUGGCCAGAGACCGAUAGCGCACAAGUAGAGUGAUCGAAAGAUGAAAAGCACUUUGGAAAGAGAGUCAAACAGCACGUGAAAUUGUUGAAAGGGAAGCGCUUGCAGCCAGACUUGCUUACAGUUGCUCAUCCGGGUUUUUACCCGGUGCACUCUUCUGUAGGCAGGCCAGCAUCAGUUUGGGCGGUAGGAUAAAGGUCUCUGUCACGUACCUCCUUUCGGGGAGGCCUUAUAGGGGAGACGACAUACUACCAGCCUGGACUGAGGUCCGCGCAUCUGCUAGGAUGCUGGCGUAAUGGCUGUAAGCGGCCCGUCUUGAAACACGGACCAAGGAGUCUAACAUCUAUGCGAGUGUUUGGGUGUCAAGCCCGAGCGCGUAAUGAAAGUGAACGGAGGUGGGAACCCGCAAGGGUGCACCAUCGACCGAUCCUGAUGUCUUCGGAAGGAUUUGAGUAAGAGCAUGGCUGUUGGGACCCGAAAGAUGGUGAACUAUGCUUGAAUAGGGUGAAGCCAGAGGAAACUCUGGUGGAGGCUCGCAGCGGUUCUGACGUGCAAAUCGAUCGUCAAAUUUGGGCAUAGGGGCGAAAGACUAAUUCGAA